UGUUUAUUUUGGCAGCUCGUAUACCAUAUUCAAAUGAUACAGCGAGGAUGAACAUGGUUCCUACCCAAAGGACUA
rnacentral:snRNA from 1 species